rnacentral:tRNA from 1 species
GCUGCGAUUUGUAGGCUUGAGCUGCCCGUCCUUCGCUGUCGGGUUGGAUCCGGCUGCUGUUGAGUGCAACUCGCGGUUGCAGCU